UACGGGGGGGGCAAGCGUUGUUCGGAAUUACUGGGCGUAAAGGGCUCGUAGGCGGCCAAUUAAGUCCGACGUGAAAUCCCCAGGCUUAACCUGGGAACUGCGUCGGAUACUGGAUGGCUUGAAUUCGGGAGAGGGAUGCAGAAUUCCAGGUGUAGCGGUGAAAUGCGUAGAUAUCUGGAGGAACACCGGUGGCGAAGGCGGCAUUCUGGACCAUAACUGACACUGAGAGACGAAAGCCAGGGGAGCAAACGGG
rnacentral:rRNA from 1 species